AACAAACGCUGGCGGCGUGCCUAAUACAUGCAAGUCGAACGGGUAGCAAUACCAGUGGCGCACGGGUGAGGAAUACAUAGAUAAUCUGCCUUCGAGUCGGGGAUAACCAGUCGAAAGAUUGGCUAAUACCGGAUAAGACCACAGGAGCUGAGGCUCUAGGGGUUAAAGGUUUUUCGCUUGAAGAUGAGUCUAUGCGAGAUUAGCUAGUCGGUGAGGUAAUGGCUCACCAAGGCGACGAUCUCUAACUGGUCUUAGAGGAUGAUCAGUCACACUGGAACUGAGACACGGUCCAGACUCCUACGGGAGGCAGCAGUAGGGAAUAUUGCGCAAUGGGGGAAACCCUGACGCAGCGACGCCGCGUGAGUGAUGAAGGCCUUCGGGUCGUAAAGCUCUGUCGUAUGGGAAUAACACAAUGAAUGUACCAUGCAAGAAAGGAUCGGCUAACUUCGUGCCAGCCGCCGCGGUAA
rnacentral:rRNA from 1 species